AGCACGGGAGCAAUCCUGGUGGCGAGUGGCGAACGGGUGAGUAAUGUAUCGGAACGUACCUUUCAGUGGGGGAUAACGUAGCGAAAGUUACGCUAAUACCGCAUAUUCUGUGAGCAGGAAAGCAGGGGAUCGCAAGACCUUGCGCUGAUUGAGCGGCCGAUAUCAGAUUAGCUAGUUGGAGAGGUAAAGGCUCACCAAGGCGACGAUCUGUAGCGGGUCUGAGAGGAUGAUCCGCCACACUGGAACUGAGACACGGUCCAGACUCCUACGGGAGGCAGCAGUGGGGAAUUUUGGACAAUGGGCGCAAGCCUGAUCCAGCCAUGCCGCGUGAGUGAAGAAGGCCUUCGGGUUGUAAAGCUCUUUCAGCCGGGAAGAAAACGCAUGGGUUAAUACCCUGUGUGGAUGACGGUACCGGAAUAAGAAGCACCGGCUAACUACGUGCCAGCAGCCGCGGUAAUACGUAGGGUGCGAGCGUUAAUCGGAAUUACUGGGCGUAAAGCGUGCGCAGGCGGUUUGUUAAGAUAGGCGUGAAAUCCCCGGGCUCAACCUGGGAACUGCGUUUAUGACUGGCAGGCUAGAGUAUGGCAGAGGGGGGGUGGAAUUCCACGUGUAGCAGUGAAAUGCGUAGAGAUGUGGAGGAACACCGAUGGCGAAAGCAGCCCCCUGGGCCAAUACUGACGCUCAUGCACGAAAGCGUGGGUAGCAAACAGGAUUAGAUACCUGGUAGUCCACGCCCUAAACGAUGUCAACUAGGUGUUGGGAGGGUAAAACCUUUUAGUACCGGAGCUAACGCGUGAAGUUGACCGCCUGGGGAGUACGGCCGCAAGGUUAAAACUCAAAGGGAAUUGACGGGGACCCGCACAAGCGGUGGAUGAUGUGGAUUAAUUCGAUGCAACGCGAAAAACCUUACCUACCCUUGACAUGUCCAGAAGCUCUUAGAGAUUUGAGUGUGCCCGAAAGGGAGCUGGAACACAGGUGCUGCAUGGCUGUCGUCAGCUCGUGUCGUGAGAUGUUGGGUUAAGUCCCGCAACGAGCGCAACCCUUGUCGUUAAUUGCCAUCAUUCAGUUGGGCACUUUAACGAGACUGCCGGUGACAAACCGGAGGAAGGUGGGGAUGACGUCAAGUCCUCAUGGCCCUUAUGGGUAGGGCUUCACACGUCAUACAAUGGUCGGUACAAAGGGUUGCCAACCCGCGAGGGGGAGCUAAUCCCAGAAAGCCGAUCGUAGUCCGGAUCGCAGGCUGCAACUCGCCUGCGUGAAGUCGGAAUCGCUAGUAAUCGUGGAUCAGCAUGUCACGGUGAAUACGUUCCCGGGUCUUGUACACACCGCCCGUCACACCAUGGGAGCGGGUUCCGCCAGAAGUGGGUAGCCUAACCGUA
rnacentral:rRNA from 1 species